rnacentral:rRNA from 1 species
GUGGGGAAUUUUGGACAAUGGGCGAAAGCCUGAUCCAGCAAUGCCGCGUGCAGGAUGAAGGCCCUCGGGUUGUAAACUGCUUUUGUACGAAACGAAAAGCCUGGGGCUAAUAUCCCCGGGUCAUGACGGUACCGUAAGAAUAAGCACCGGCUAACUACGUGCCAGCAGCCGCGGUAAUACGUAGGGUGCAAGCGUUAAUCGGAAUUACUGGGCGUAAAGCGUGCGCAGGCGGUUUUGUAAGACAGUGGUGAAAUCCCCGGGCUCAGCCUGGGAUAUGCCAUUGUGACUGCAAGGCUAGAGUGCGGCAGAGGGGGAUGGAAUUCCGCGUGUAGCAGUGAAAUGCGUAGAUAUGCGGAGGAACACCGAUGGCGAAGGCAAUCCCCUGGGCCUGCACUGACGCUCAUGCACGAAAGCGUGGGGAGCAAACAGGAUUAGAAACCCCGGUAGUCC